GCCCGGAUGGUGGAAUCGGUAGACACGAUGGACUCAAAAUCCAUUGCCCUCGGGUGUGCGGGUUCGAGUCCCGCUCCGGGUA
rnacentral:tRNA from 1 species